CCUUGGAGGAGGCGGCGGCCGCCGCCGUCCAGGCGUCGGGGGCCGCGCUGGUGCUCCGCCGCCGCCUCCUGAAGUGGACAUCGGUGGGGAAGGGCUCGCCGAACUCGUCCACCCGGGUGAGUGUGAUCCUCGGUGGCUAAUCUUUGUUCUCUGCCGCUCCGCUGCUUUGUGUAAGCAUUGUCUCCCUUUAUCUGCUGCAUCCAUUUGCUUGCCCAAUGAUUAUCCCAGGAGGCAGAGCGCUUCCCUUUGAUGCUUGCUCUCCAAUGCCGCAAGAUAACCAAAGGCAGCAAACAUAUUUUCUCCUCACGUCUAAUCUGUGCGGUCAGAAAGUGAAAGAUUUCAUUCCCUUCAAACAGCUGACUGGUUGCUGGCCGGAUCUCAGCCUCUCUUGCUUCUCUGCCUACGGCUAACAAAGAUACGGCUCUUGUGCUCCCUUUCCCUGAAUUCAGGAGACUGUUCUGCUCACCAAAAGGGUUCCCUCUAAAGGAUAUUUUCUAGCAUCAGGGCUGUUGUUUUAAGCCUUUCCCAUUUGUUUGGAGGGGCUGAGACUUGCGUGUUCUUGGUAUAUACUUAGUUUUCAAACUUCUCUCCUUUUUCAUGCCAAGCCAGCUCUUUUGAUCAUGGUUAAAAGGAUGUAAAUGUAUAGUUUAACUUCCCUACAGCAGCUAUCUAAGCUUCUGCUUUCUCUGUUGGGUUCUCUGUUCUUGCCACUCUCUCUUGCCCCUAGAUUGGGCCCUGCGUAGGGAGCCAGGGCUGAACCCCUUGCUCGUUUUGGGGUUUGAUCCGCAGAAACGCGGAGGGCUGGGGAGUAGUACCUGCAUUUCACAGCAAUACCAGCACAGUGCUUUUAUCACUAUGGUUGCAGCUUGCUUCUGCAGGUCCACAUUGCACCCUGCAUUUCACAGACACAAGAUGAUGUUAAAUGAUGCGCCCGGAUGCUGCAAAGCGAGGGCAGGGUUCGACUCUCCGUCCUGUCCUGGUGGUCUGAGACAUGUGCACUGAAGUGACUUGUCCAAGGUCAUGCAGGCAAAUAAACCCUAAAUGUCCUUCAGCCUGGUCCAGGGUCAGUCUGUUCAAGGAGGCUGGCUUCCCACCCAGUGCUCUCCAGCGGGAAUCGUGUCCCCCGUGGGAGCCAGCCCUCUGCACAGGGUUGAAUCUGCGUGCAAUGGAAACAUGAGUAUAACCCUGUCCUUACAGACUGUCCUGCUUCUGGCCUGGGUAGGGAACCCACAUUUGGGAACAGAAGGAGAAGGAGGAAAAGAAAACAAGUCCCUUAUAUUGCUCCCCUCACGUGCAAGGAAACUGGCUCUUGUUUUGCCUUAGAAACAGCUUUGAGCCUGGAAGACAGCUUCAUGAGGAGAAACUAGGGACUGGGUGGGAGGAACAGCAAAGCCCACGUAGCCGCAGCGAAUGCGUGGGACUUCCCGGUUUAGCAGGUCAGCAUGGAUGGACAUAACGAUCCCUGGAGGCCCUCGGCUGAAGACUCGGCUGGUUCCAGCUCAGCCCCUCCCCAGCUCCCAGCACUGCUGCAGACUGUUUGCAUACUCCUUCUUUUGCGUACACCUCUCUUAUCUGCCUUGCAGAAAGUGCGUGCUCAGAUUUGCAUAACAUGCCUGCAAUGUUGCACCGAUCCUUCGGACAGACAAGCAUAUGUAGACCCCAUCCUCUAUCCCUUUGAGUACCAGCAGUGAUCUGGGGCAAGACCUAAGGUGGCCGAGAAAUGCUUAAUUCUGGACCUUCCCAUUUUUGUGCAAAUUAAGCCAUCAAGCUAAACAUUAUGUUGGUUUAUCUUUUGUAUUUGUCACCCUACAGAUCAAUGCACUCCUUUUAACUUUUGAUAUUAUGUACACGUGCAUCUAUGUUAAGUUCCAGCUGCCUUUGGCAAAACGUUAGCAGUAACACUAAGAGGACUAAACAGAGCAGAUGUUCUGUAAUCCCACACCAAAAACCAACUGGGGAAUGUUGGAAGUUUUGCAGGUACAGAAAGUUUUACCCCUCGAGCCAUGUACUUUUAUUCAGAUAAACCAAUUAUCAUAACAGCUCUGCAAGGUAUCACCAUCGCCUUACAAAGAGGAAACUGAGAUGGCCGAUUUGGUGAAAGACUGGAGUUGUGGAGCCCUGACCCUGUGACCAGCCCCAGCCUCCCACUCGAGUCUCCCUGUAGCCUACAUGUAUAAAGUGAUAUGUCAGCGCAAGGAUCAUUAAACUGUAAAACUCUAUUUUAGGAGGAUUGUUUUCAUUCUUCCCCUAAAUGGUAGAUUGCCUCCAGAGAUAAAAUAGAAACCUCUAAUAGAGUAGGAAAAAAGCUAGGCAUCUUUACAGAUACCAAGCACUUUUACCCUAAACUGUUUGAUUUCACUAAGGAUGUCACAGAGCAGCCAGCUAAAAGAAAAGACAUCUCCCUGGGGGAAAUCUUUAUGACGGUGUUGUUAUGUUUGUAUAGUGGUAGACAGUCUGUAGUAGUUGGAAAACCAUCCAAAAUUGUUAAUAGCUAAAAAAGGUGAAUGUUUUAGAAACUGAAUUAGGCCUGUCAAAAUUCGUUAGCAAAACUUCCACCAACUCGGUGACGUGCAGAAUCAGGACAUCUGUGUAGUUUCUAGGGGGUAUUUUACAGCAGCACAUCAUGCUUAUUAAUGUCCACCUGACAAGCACAUAUAUGGAAUUUCAUUACCAGGAUGCAGUGGCUUGAAAAAACCAUUUCUAACUUAAAAAAAAAAAAAAAUGGCUCUGCUCCCCAAGUUUCAUCACAGUAAAUCAGAGUAUUUUAAAAUGCUCCCUAGGUAGCUGAGGCCACAGAUUGUCUGGGGCAGGGAAGGAGGGAGGAAAUAAUCUAAUGGUACCUCCAUCACACUGUGCAACUACUGGCAUCACUUAAUUACUACAGCCAAAGCGUACACCAGACCGAACAGUGAGGCAGUACUCCUUCCCCAGAUGCUAAAGGAAUAACAGACAAGCUGCUUAAAUGUGAUGGUCCAGAUGCAGCUUCCAGCAAGUCUCUAACUUGCUGACUGCGGGGCAUGCUGGGGAAGGAUGUCUCCUCCUCCACAUGCUUUUGCGCUCUUGCAUCCAGUUUCCUCAUUUCCUCUGAGAGCAGCAUUGGCAAGGAAUGGAUCAGGGAUGCUCAGGCAGUGGAAAGUCGGCGUAUAAACAUGUGAUGCAAAUCUAAAAAGAGAUUUGGUCUCUCCCCAACUAUGUCACAUUUGCCCUGGGUGAGUGAGGGGUAAGCGCGUUCUCUUUUCAAAUGUACCAUCUGCAACAAGCUGCUUGUUUCUCAUGAUUGCUAUGGCACAGCCCAAGCAGCCGGCACAGCUAACACAGGAGCUGUUGCUGCAGAUUUGUGCCUGCAUCUUUGCUUUGCUGUCAGGUGUCUGAAGCCUUGGCUUUGUAACUUAACUUCACUGUCGAGCUCCGCUUGUGCAACCAAAACGGGACACUCACCAGGAGGAAUUCAGUGUUUCAUAAACGUUGGUGUCUAGGUGAGAUGUUAAGAAACAGGUUCAGAACGAGCAGGAUGCAACCAAGGCGCGCAAACUCUGGGUGAUCUGCAGAGCUGAAGCAGAGUUGUCCUCUCCUUCCCAGCUGUUUCCAUCAUCCAUCCCUGCUCCACGUCUUCCUGCCUUCUCGGUUACUGAACACCUUUCUUUUGAUGGCAGAGGUUCAGUAUGAGCAAACCUUGGAUCGGUGCAUUCCCCCAGCAGGUGCAGGGAGAGUUACACAGACGACGGGAAUUGGCCGCAGCCUACACAACCACAUUCGUGUCGUGCCACUCGGCCUGGGCCGCCAUCGAGAGAAUUAACGGAAUGUAAAUCCGUGUUUGGUAGUACACAGCAUCUCCAGCUUCUGGCUGUAACUCCUUCAGUCCCUUGGCAAACCAUACCAGACUGAGAUCUCCCCAAGGAACCACAGCUGGGCAUUUUGGAUCCUGAUAGAAAGUAGAGCAUUCACACAGACAAGGCUGACAGUUUCAGAGUUAGUUGUUAUUUCCGAGGGAAUCUGCAGUGCUGAAGCUAAAGCCUGUUAGAAAUGGUCUUCUUUUAAAGCUAUUGUAUGGCUUGGCUACAAAGAUAAGGCGCCAGAUGCGCUGAGAACAAUUUCUAGGAGACAGUUGUGGCAUGCCUAGAAGCAUCUUGAGAGUUUACGUUUGUAACAGACUGUUUCUUCAGAGGCAAAUGUUUGUGAGGAUCAUCAGUUUUAAUUACUUGAAAUGACAACCGGUAAAGCGAACUGCACUUACACUCAGGCUGUUUUCCUUCUGCUCUCCUCUUUUCCUGAAGAGAGGACUGCUAGCGUGACUCUCUUCCUUUAACUUUAUAGGGUAGCAGAUUGAUACAUGUAGACUAACAUGAGGCCGUUUUCUUCCCAACUAUAUCCCACAGUGCUUUCUUUCACUCAUGAAUUAUUCAUUGCACAGGGAGGUAUUUCCUUUUAUCUGUUUUCAUUCAGUGGAGUAAGCAGCUAAUUUUGUCAACUAAGCACAUGAAAACAUGGAUCAGUCCUCAAAAUUCCCAAAACUUCUAAACCAAGGCUUAUUUUCUCUUUUGAUUGCAAGGGAGGAUGAGCUGAGAUAAGAUUGCUCUCCAUAAGGACAUCAGGAGGAGCAAGCAGCACGGUCAACAGAAUUAGUGAAAAAUGUGUUCUUGCUGACCCAAGAACAAAUGGGUAUAAAUUGGCCAUGAGCAAAUUUAAGCUGAGAGUGAAAAUAAGGUUUCGAACUAUCAGAGAAAGCAGGGUUUUGGAACAACCUGCCAGUAACAUAGAUAUUGUCUUCAUAUUCCCACUUCCUUCUUAAAUGAAGUGUGAUCGUUUUGUAAUAUGGAGUAUGACACUGUUAGAUACAAGAGCAGGGGCUGAAUUUGAAGACACCAGGACCAGAGCUCCCAUAUACCCAGUCUGAGGACAUGACUUUUCUUUCCUGGCCAGAAGCUUUAUCCAAACACAAUUAGAGGAUUUGGGCCAUUUGGGCUUUCCUGAUAACCGCGGCCCUAGGCAAAGCUCCUCCUAACCUGCAGGCCUAUGGCAGCCCCAAGGAGAUGGGCAAGUGGGUAGCACAGCUUGGGUGCCUGGAAAUACAGCAGCUCUGCUAAGGAGGUAGUUUCCUGUCCUGAAUUCCAAGUAUAUUGGGAUAAACAUGUCAUAUUUUCAGGCCUCUCUACUUUGUGUAGACACUAGAAUAUAAAUAACAUUACUGAAUGUUGGUAACAGCAACCAGGCUCAAUUUUGUAAGCCAUCUGUUUCUGGAUUUUCUCCCCCUAUUUUACCAGCCUAAUUCUUAAAUACCCCUAACAUUUUCAUCCAGAAAGUUUUAAAGAGAAGCAGCAUGACUUGGAAAUCACUGCAAAAUUAACGGAUUUGUUGACCUAAUUGGCAUUGCUUGGAAACACCAGAGCCUACUGAGGGACCAGGACCACUUUGUGCUAGCUGCAGUACUAACCCAGGACUGAAAAUGAAGCCUCUAUUGGAGUUCCCCUGCCUCAUCACACUCAGUUAAUGCGUUACUCCACACUAGCUGCCCACUUAAGAGUAGCUCUUGGUUUAGGGAGAGGGUGAACUUGUUCAUAGCCACAACGUUGUUUCUCUGUGCAGUUUUCAUAGCACCUUUCUGCUUGUAGUGCUCUUCACAGCUCAAAGUCCACAUUCACAACUGAGAACCGUCCAAGUCGGAGGCAUUUCAUCUACCAACAAGGUGGUCGUUUGUGCUCGAGCAGCACCAGGACAGAGAGAUGCUGGCCCUGGGCUGAGACCACUAGAUGCAUCGUAACUUGCGACCAUGCUCGCAUCUCCCGACACCCAUGACUGAACCAAACUCCAUGAGAGCAGAAAGGGCACCCUCCAGAGAAGUGAUGUGUAGUAUGGACAUUGGGCUCAUUAAAACAAAACUCUGCUUA